CUCCGGCAACGAACGAAGUAGCCUAUUCGGUUUCAUCGACCAAACCAUUCUAAUUCUAAGAUACACAAACAAACAUGCAUUUUCGAACUAUAUCAUCAUCAAAUCAAUGUCUCAUUUCACUUUCCAACUUCACUUCACACUCAUCUUCAUCUCUCAGGUGUUUUUCUUCUGUUCAAACACAAAAUACCAUCAAUGGAGUUGAACAACAACAAGAAGAACUUGAUCAAAAUGAAAAACCCAGAUCAAGAAACUCAAGCAAAACAGCUAAAACAAUGGUUAAUCUAAUAAAUUUCAAACCUUGGUCAAAUGGGUUAUUAUCAUCAUUCACAACUUCACUUUCCAAAACCACUGUUCUUCAAACACUUCGUCAUAUUAAGGUACCAUCAAAAGCCUUUUUCUUUUUCAAUUGGGUACAUCAAAAUGGUUUCUCUCAUAAUCCUCAAUCCUAUUUUAUCAUGUUACAAAUUUUGGGUCGUCAGAAGAAUCUUAAUGUAGCUAGGAAUUUUCUAUUUUCUAUUGAGAAAAGGUCUAAUGGUGAAGUUAAGCUUAAAGAUAAGUUUUUUAAUAGCUUAAUUAGAAGUUAUGGUGAAGCUGGAUUGUUUAAAGAGUCUGUGAAGCUUUUUGAGACUAUGAAAUCUAUUGGUGUUUCGCCAUCUGUCAUUACGUUUAAUAGUGUUAUGUUUAUUUUGCUUAAAAGGGGUAGGACAAAUAUGGCUAAAGAGGUGUAUGAUGAAAUGCUUAACACGUAUGGUGUUACGCCGGAUAUUUACACGUUUAACAUUUUGAUUCGAGGGUUUUGUAAGAAUUCUAGGGUUGAUGAAGGGUUUCAUUUCUUUAGAGAAAUGACGAGAUUCAAUUGUGAUCCGGAUGUUGUUACUUAUAACACGCUUGUUGAUGGGUUGUGUAGAGUAGGGAAGAUUAAGGUAGCGCAUAAUUUGGUGAAUGGUAUGAGCAAGAAAUGCAAAGAUUUGAGUCCUAAUGUUGUUACUUAUACGACUUUGAUUCGAGGGUAUUGUAUGAAACAAGAACUCGAUGAGGCCUUGGUUAUUCUUGAAGAAAUGAAUGGUAGAGGGCUUAAGCCGAAUUUAUUUACCUAUAAUACUCUCAUAAAAGGACUUUGUGAGUCGAACAAGUGGGACAAGAUGAAAGAUAUUUUGGAACAAAUGAAAGGCGAUGGUGGAUCUGUUCCAGAUGAAUGUACCUUCAAUACACUGAUUAGUUCACAUUGUUGUGAUGGAAACCUUGAUGAAGCAUUCAAGAUUUUCGAAAACAUGCAAAAAUUAGAGGUCUCAGCAGAUUCAGUCUCAUACAGUGUUCUGAUAGGAAGUUUAUGUCUGAAAGGGGACUAUGAUAAGGCAGAAAGGCUUUUGGAUGAGUUAUUUGAGGAGGAAAUUUUGUUACGUGAUUAUGGCCCAAAGCCGCUGGCUGCUUCUUAUAGGUGUAUUUUUCAGUAUUUGUGUGAACAUGGGAAAACAAAGAAGGCCGAAAGGCUACUCAGACAGCUAAUGAAAAGGGGAACACAAGAUCCCAUAUCAUACAAGAUAGUGAUUUUGGGGCAUUGUAAAGAAGGUGCAUUCGAAAAUGGAUAUGGGCUUUUAAUAUGGAUGCUGAGAAGGGAUUUUCUUCCCGAUGUUGAUAUUUAUGACUAUUUGAUUGAUGGUUUGCUUCAGAAGGAUAAGCCUCUCCUUGCAAAGGAGACACUAGAGAAAAUGCUAAAGAGCUCUUAUCAACCAGAAACAAAUACAUGGCAUUCUAUACUCUCUAGACUUUUGGAAAAGGGCUGUGUUAACGAGUCUGCCGGUGUUAUUGUCAUGAUGUUGGAGAGAAAUAUCAGACAAAAUAUAAACCUUUCAACUAAGUGUUUACAACUACUUUUUGAACUUGGACUGCAUGAUAAAGCAUUCAAAAUUAACGAGUUGAUUUAUAAGAAUGGAUACUGUGUUAAAAUGGAUGAAGUUGUUCAAUUUCUUUGCAACAAAGGAAGGACAUCAGAAGCAUGCAAAAUGUUUCUUUUUUGUUUGAAAAAUAAUCAGAAUAUCGACAUUGAUUUGUGUAAUAUUGUUAUUCUCGAUCUUUGCAAAAUUAACAAGGCUUCAGAAGCAUUUAGUUUAUGCUAUGAAUUGGUGGAGAAAGGUUUGCAUCAGGACUUGACAUGUCUCAAUGAUCUGGUAACUGCUUUAGAGGCAGGUGGAAGAAUAGAGGAGGCUGCAUUUAUAUCAAAGAGAAUACCAAGAGCAGAUAACUUGGAUCGAUCUGAACGAAAUAAUAACGCUAAGAAGUCCAAGCCUGAUAAAAUAUUAAGAGGCUAGAAUGGCAUGAAAAGAGGUUAGGGAUCCAUUAUCAUCCGAGUCAAUGCUGACUGGGAAACCUCUUGUUCAGGAGUAGAUGAGCGCUAUGUCUAAGUAGGUGACUCUAUUUGGAUUAUUCUACUGCUUCCUCGGACUAUCAUCAAAGGCUGGUUAAACAUUGUUAUAGAAUGAUCGGGUCGGGCUGAUAUUUCUCCAUUAGAGCGACGAAUGGUUAAGAUCAGAGAAGAUGCCAAUUGAGACAUAUAUAUAUAUAUAUAUAUAUAUAUAUAUAUAUAUCCAUGAAUUGUUUGAUGUGUCAGAUAAAACAUCAAGGUUGCUGACGAAGAAUGAUGAGAAGAUGGAAUAAAUUGCUACCAAAAAGAAAAAAGGCAGUCUUAGCUAGUCUUACUCGUUUGUGUAUUUCAUGACUCUGAUGUUGUCUUUGUUAGUCUUACUCGUUUAAGAUUUCUUGUAUUAUAAUUUUGGUCUUAAUCUUCCGGUUCUCAUGAGAAAUGGCUCACGGUAAUUCAAAGUUCUGCUGGUAGGUAAGUAAAGUUUGAUCAACUAUUGUUUCAGCUAGGAUUUGAACUCAAGUACCUCGAUCUAUUCCUUUAUUAAAAUAUCUAUUUUGUCGAAACAACUCUGGUUUUCCUAUUAUCUUGUUUUGAAACCUAAAGUGCAUGCAUACCCUGGUUGGAUUUUAUUUCUGAAAAGUUUGCUGGAGAUGGUUCAGGUCGUGACUGAUAAACACAAUAAUUUCUAGGAAGUGUAGAACAAUUGUACUUUCUUUCCCUUUUUUGUUUUAUUAAGUUGACUAGUUUUCAGUAUAGGUAGGUGGAAACUGUAACUAUUUCAUUUUUCAGACAGAGUUAAACUUGUGACUUUCAUUAUGGACAAAAAAAAAAUUGUGUUAAGCUUCUGGUUACCAAGAGAAGGGGACUCUGAUUAUCUAAAGUUUGGCUGCAUAGUAAGUAAAGUCCGACAAAAAAUUGUCCCAAAAAACGCUAAGUUAGUUCAUAGAGUUGUAGAUAAAUUUGCUUCCAUUGCAUUUGCAAACUGUUUUAUUUCUAUGUAGAGAAAUGCAAUGAGUAAGUAGAUAAACAUAUGUAGACAUGUAAGCACCAUUAGCUUUGGAAAAAUGAAAAGCAUUAAUGAAUUACGUACCUAUAACCUAGAACCUAGAACCUAUAACAUGUCCAUCUAAGCAAUUUAUGCAAGGAGGUUUGCCGCUAAUUUGUUUGUUUAAAAAGCAAUUAGGGUUUGCUAAUGUUGCAAACUAUGUUAGGAUUAGAUAUAUAAAGAUAAAGAUAAAGAUACUUUAGGCCUCCAAUUCAUCUAUGAGCUAAUGCACUAAGCUAUUAGAGAUUCUUAGGCUGUGCUACCAGGAAGCAAUGACCAAAACUAACGGAAGAAGAACCACUUACUUGAGUUACAUACCAAAGCUACUGAUGCAUUUUCUUGGUUCUUCCCUGUCGUUAAAUAUCUCAACUUAAAAUAUUCCAUUUUUAAAUUUGGUCUCUUUUGUUAACUCCAUUUAACAGACGAUGACUUGACACUAACAUGCGACAAAUUUCUAACUUAUGUUGAUGUGGCAUCGACACAUAGCAAUUUUUAGAUGACAUGACAUUUCUAUAUUUAUUAUUUUAUCACUACAUUUUCUUCAUCUUUUUUUAUUGAUACAAUUUCCAUCUUCUUUGUUGCUAUUUUUCUCCUCCUCUCGAUUGAUAGACAUGGUCAGGCGAAGCUCUGGUUUGAGAGUUAUAGUUAUAGCAAUG